UCCGUAGGUGAACCUGCGGAGGGAUCAUUACCGAGUUCAUGCCCUUACGGGUAGAUCUCCCACCCUAUGUUAUAUUACCUUUGUUGCUUUGGCAGGCCGUCAGGCUUCGGUCAGGCUACCGGCUCCGGCUGGUAAGCGCCUGCCAGAGGACCCCAAACUCUGAAUGUUAGUGUUGUCUGAGUACUAUAUAAUAGUUAAAACUUUCAACAACGGAUCUCUUGGUUCUGGCAUCGAUGAAGAACGCAGCGAAAUGCGAUAAGUAAUGUGAAUUGCAGAAUUCAGUGAAUCAUCGAAUCUUUGAACGCACAUUGCGCCCCUUGGUAUUCCGAGGGGCAUGCCUGUUCGAGCGUCAUUACAACCCUCAAGCACAGCUUGGUAUUGGGCUCCGCUACUUACCUAGCGGGUCUUAAAAUCAGUGGCGGCGCCAUCGAGGCCCUGAGCGUAGUAAAUAUCCUCGCUAUAGGGACUCGGUGGACACUAGCCAUCAACCCCCCAACUUUCUAAGUUUGACCUCGGAUCAGGUAGGGAUACCCGCUGAACUUAAGCAUAUCAAUAACGGGAGGGGAAGGUCUACUGGCCAAGGGCACACAGGGGGGGAUA
rnacentral:rRNA from 1 species